rnacentral:rRNA from 1 species
GGGUUAGUAGGUUGGGCAUGCCUCUGGUACGUACUGGUCUCACUGAUUCCUCCUUCCUGAUGAACCUUAAUGCCAUUAAUUUGGUGUUUUGGGGAAUUUGGACUGUUACUUCGAAAAAAUUAGAGUGUUUAAAGCAAGCUGACGCUUGAAUACAUUAGCAUGAAAUAAUGAAAUAGGACGUUCGAUCCUAUUUUGUUGGUUUCUAGGAUUGACGUA